AUUGAACGCUGGCGGCAGGCCUAACACAUGCAAGUCGAGCGAGAGGCGGACGGGUGAGUAAUGUCUGGGAAACUGCCUGAUGGAGGGGGAUAACUAAUGGAAACGGUAGCUACUAACGCACAGCAUCAGAUGUGUCGAGAUGGGAUUAGGUAGUAGGUGGGGUAAUGGCUCACCUAGGCGACUAUCCCUAGCUGGUCUGAGAGGAUGACCGGCCACACUGGAACUGAGACACGGUCCAGACUCCGACGGGAGGCAGCAGUUGGGAAUAUUGCACAAUGGGCGAAAGCCUGAUGCAGCCAUGCCGCGUGUGUGAUGAAGGCCUUCGGGUUGUAAAGCACUUUCAGCGAGGAGGCGUUACUCGAAGAAGAAGCACCGGCUAACUCCGUGCCAGCAGCCGCGGUAAUUC
rnacentral:rRNA from 1 species